AAGCAAAGAAGAGGAUGAACAAAGAAGCAUAAUUCCUGGCAUAACGUUUAACAUUCUCAUGAACUCUCAACUUAAGGGUGUGUGGGGAAGAGGGAAACGAGUAAGACCCAAGAGCCCCAAUAAACUCACGGGUCCAAGAUGGGGUCUUGGCUGAGAAAUCAUCAGUGGUGAGUUUAGCAAAAGGGUUGACGGUGAGAAGAGAGAUAAAGGUGUAUAAAUAAUGUAGAAGGCUGUGAGUUAUGGUCGUGGCUGUGGCUGUUUCUUUGGCGGAGGCUGUUGUGACGGCGGCGGCCGACGUGGUGGUGGCGGUGUCGAGGAUUUCGAGGUAGCCUGAGUCACGAAGCCAUGACUCGAAUGCUGGGUCGGGUACGUUUAGAGAUAACGGGUUGGAUGCGAAUACCUUCCCCAUUACAAAAAAGCUAUCCGAUUUCGGUUGAAUGAGAGUAAAUAAAUGUCAUUAAUUUAAAAUGCUUAAGGAUUUUUAGUAUUUUAAAGACCGUACAAAAUAUAACUUAAUUUUUUUAAAUUUAAUAGAUGAGUGUGUAGAAUAAUAGAAUAUUUAAAGUAAUUAUUAGGUGAUGUUUGGUUGGAAACAGAGAAUGAGAAUAGGAAAAUAAUUUAAAUUCUACUUUUAUUUUUAUUGUUUGAUUGUACAAAAUAUAUAAGAAUUUAAUUUUUAUUAAAAUUUAAUAUCCUUUAUAAUGUAGAAUUUAAAUUCCAUACCAAAGAGUGAAGAAUUCAAAUUUCUCUUAUGGUAAAAACCCAAGCUUCUAAAUUUACCCUCCAAUAUUUUAACUUAUUUAAUGCUAUUAAUAAUUAUUAUUUAUGAUUUUAUUUUAUUAAUUUAAUUUUAUAAAUAAUUUUAUAUUAAUUAAAUUUAAUGAAUGAUUUAAGAAAUUUAAUAAAAUAAAUAAACUUAUUUAUUUUAUUUAAUAUGAAAAUAUAUAAAUAUAAAUUAACUUCAUCGGACCGUCGCCGGACCCUUUGACAUCGCCGGAAGCCGCUGAAAUUCCGUCGGAAAGUCACCGGCCACCGCUGAUCGGUGUUAACUUUUGUUGACCGAUGUUGACUUAUAUUGACCGCUACUGUUGACCGGCUUUUAUUUAAAUUAAAUUAUAUUAAAUAGUUAGUAUAUUAAAUUAUUUUAUAUUUUAUAUUAAAUAUAAAUCAUGAAUUGUUUUAGAACUUUUUGAAAUUAAAACGAUUUAGUAUUAAUAUCAAAUUAUAUUUUAUUACUAAUAUAGAUAAUUUAAUAUUUAAGAUAGAUAAUAAAUUUAUUCAAAGAAAAAAAUUAUAAUUUUUUUUCUUAUCAAAUUUUAUAUCAAACUAAAUAAUGAAAUUUAAUUUCACUAUUCUCAUCGACUCAUUUCUCUUCCAUUCCACUCUUUUAUUCUCCUCCCAUUUCUUAAAACCAAACACCACCUUAGAGCUUGUAAUGCUUUGGCUGAUUCAUUAGCUAAAUUAGCUUUAAGUUUUGAAAGACCUGCUCUGUGGCUGGAAAAUUUUCCAUGACAAUGUUUUGCUGUUGUUUUCAAUGUCAGUUUGGAAAGCUUUACUUUCCCUUAAAAAAAAAAAAAAAAAAACACCACCUUAGAGGAUAAAUAGGCAUAUCCAAUACUUUAACUUAUGGUUGGUUGUUUUUUUCACUGAUUUUUUUUUUUAUUUGAAUUGAAUUAAUUACUAGUUGUGACUCGAGCUCAAGAGAGUCGAAGAGAGAGAAAAAGAAAAAUGGAGUGCUUCUCUUGUCCCUUUUAAGUGAAUAUAUUUAGGUUGGGUACCAAAGGCCAGUUUAAUCUUUUAUACUGCAUGGCAGCUUUUUACUCAAAUAUCAAAUGAGCUUGCUCUUCACGUGACGCUAAUUUUACCAAACUUUAUUUUUUUUCCUUGAUUAGCUCGUGUAGGACAGUUGAGGUGGCAACUUCUUAUUUAUUAUUCUUAUACCACAUGUCAGCUUUCAACUAGUCCAUAAAUAUCCUUCAAAAUUUACCUCCAAACAAAUCUAAUAACCUCUUGAAAACGAAAAAUUAAAAAUUUAUUCAAUCAUUCAAUGUUAAGGAUAUUGGCCAAGUAAUGGAAUGCUAACAAACCAAAUUAAAUUUCUACACUUACUCUUUUUCUUUGGCCUACACCAAAUUUCAUCACUUAAUUUUCCUUUAAUUAAAUAAAACAAAUACAUUAUAACUGCUUACUAUUUACAUCUGAAUAGAGCAAUGAAGACUGGUUAUUAAAGAUCGGUUGUUAAAUGGAUAUGGAUGAAAAUGGUGUUAAAAGACUGGUUAUGAAAAAUCUUUUAACAUAAAUCUUGCGUUUAAGAAACUUUUAGUUCACAACCAUGGCAUAUGGUAGCAAUGAAAAAGGCUCUUGCAGGAUAUAUUCAAGCAAAUUGGUUUGGGUAACGACAAACAAAAAAGCCUUGCAAGUGAUAAAGUUCCUCCUUUGCCCACUCAAAUGCAUUACAUAAUGUCGCAGUACAUUUUAUUUAUGCAAAUACGUAUAUACAUGCAUAUCUUGAUAACUAUUUUAACAUGUGAUCUAAUAUAAAACAUAAUUUCGCUCUGAAUAUUUUUAUAAUUGAUUUGUUAUAAAUUUGAACGAGGGAUUGCAGUUAUACCUUCUUGAAUUUUAUAGAUGUUUUCAUGCAUGCUCUACGAAAAAAUAUUUGAUGUCGUGUCAAUGCUCACUGCAAAAUAUAUCUUAGGUGCUCGCACAUAUACCGUAGGCUAUAGCUAUACAAAAACUUAUACUUUGCUUUCUCGAAUGCACACACUUGCACGCAAAAUUCUAUUAUUGAAAGUCGCUGCUUACUAUACACGGCUUUUUUCUAGCCUUUUAUUAGACGUGGUUUCAAUUUAUUGAACCAUUAGAGGGACACAUCAGUAGUCACAAAAAAGCCCCUCUAAAUGGCAAUUCUUGUAAUCAUUUCGCUGCCGCUCUUCAUUCCAGUCCCAAGUACACGGCCCAAACUUCAACUUUCUCCGGGAAGGCAAUGAAGCGUGGCUCAGUCUCAGUAAUAUGUCCCUCAUAUUCCAUUGAAUGAGCCAAAGGAGGAAUACUUCGAUAGUUAGUAGCAACUAGCAAUCAUAUUGAAGGAAUUUUCUGUAUCAGAUAAAGAAAGAGCAGCAGAGAACAAAGCUGUUAAUCAAUCAACAAAUGUAAAGCAGUAUUAGUAUUUCUGCCUUAUUGUAGUGCCUAAGCGGGUAUUAGGAUUUCUCCACAAGAACGUUUACUAAGAUAUUCAGCCAAGUGUGAAGUUCAUCAAUAAUCAAUCUUUUCUCGAAAUAAACGAAACAUAUUGAGUGCCAGACUUGCCCAGCCUCUGAAACAGGAUUUCAGAGCAAGCAACAGAACAAAAGACAGAAAACACAUUCAACUCAACCCAAACACUAGAAAGCAUCACAAAUAUUAUUUAUUUUUUGUACACAAUUAACGAACCGAGGCUGAAGCACAAAUCAAUGAACUCUCAACUGAAAAAUCCGAAACGAAACUUCUUAUUUAUGAAUAGACAGCGGAAACAAAGAAACCAAAAAAAAGUCCACCACCGUAGGAUCAGGAUUUAUUUGUGUAGACAGCAGAAGUGACGACGGAAAGGAUUCUGGUUGAAAUUGAAGCUCGCACUGCAGUCAUGAUGUUUUCUGCUCUGAUUUCACCUACACAAGUCAUUUAAGAAAUUGUGAAAAAUAAGAAAUUUAAAUUACAUUUUUUUUUCUUAACUACUAAAACAAAUGAACACCGAUGUCUGCUAGGUUCAUGGUUGAAUAUGGAAGAGUACAUAAGUCUCCACUGUUGCUAAAGAGGGCUUGAUGAUUGGGGUGAGCAUCGGAAACUCUAAAGGGUACUUAAUGUUGAGACAAAUUAGAAGAAAACACUUUGUAUAACCAUUUUUAUAUUGGAGAGAAGGGAAAAAAAGUACAUGAAAUUGGAUAAAUAAUUAAAAGUUGAAGAAAUUGGUUAAAACGAGAAACAUACAUCAAAUUCCGUAAGGAUAUAGUUGAAUGCCGCACUGUUCCUUAUCCUCAAAUUCCCGUAGCUUUUGUCUCAGCUCUGGCUGAGGCCACCAGCAAUCGAACUUGUUUAAGCUCUUUAUGUACCAGAGCUGUUCAGGCAUCUUUUUCAAGUAAGCACAAGGGUUGAUAAUCAAGCAUUCUAGUUUUGGCAUGGCUGCAUUCCCCAUAGUCCACUCCUCUAGCCAUAGCAUUGAUUUCAGGUGCAACACCUUGAGGUUCGGAAAACCAUAAGAGCCGCAAGUCAGCUUUCUACCUGAAUACGAGUUUUGCUUCAGUUUGAGCACUUGAAGAAGCGGCAGCUUUUCUAGUGUCGGCAUGGGAUCAUCCAUUAGGUCAGUAUUAGAAAAACUCAAGUGGGUUAGACUAUGAGGAAAUAGGUAUUCAGCAAGGACGAUUUUGGAGAGCCGUGGCAUCUUGCUUUCAUUCGCCAGCUUCAAUGACUCGAGACAGCUCAAUCUGCAGAGACUUUUGGACAACAAAGAUUGAUUAUAACUUAAAUCUCCCCGUAUUCGGAGAUUUCGAAGAUUAGGUAGUCUGCCCAAUAUAUCUUCAGUACAGCAGCAAGGAUGCAAGGCUGAAAUGAAAUUGAGAUUUUCCAGAGAGCCACAGAAUUUUCCUGGAUGCGCAGGAAGUGUGAUUGAGCCAAAAUUUAGAUGCCUGAGUUUGUUCAUCUUCCAAAAUUCAUCUGCUGUAUGAUCUAUAUAGCUAAAGGGCAUGUCUAGGGUGUAGAGGUUCAGAAGAUUGCUUAACAAUGAUGAAGGCAGGCUGUUGAGGGAAGGGAUAUUCAACUUCAAAUAUCUCAAAAGAAAUAAAUUUUCAAUUCCGGAUGGAUACUGGAUGAGAACAAGAGAUCCCAAGUCCAAUACUCUGAGAAGUUUGAACAUUCCACAAAAUUUCUCCCAAUCUAUAGGGUCAAGGUGGCGGGUUUCUGGAGAGCAGCACAACAAAGAAUGCAGUUGCGAGUCAUAAUCAUCUAAGCAAGCAAAAUCACCCUCUCUUUCAACAGCGUUUAACCGUUUGGCUUUUUUUGGUGAUUUACCUUUUGGAUCCAUGAAAGGGGAACAGAUGAAUUCCACCAUAUAAGGAACUGUGUGCAGCACGGGACGCCAACGACCAGGAAUAGAGCAUGUGUUGAUAGUGCCUCCGGCUUUUCUCUUCUUUGCUUCAACAAAGCCUUCCUUGAUAAGUUGUUCCAAGUAACUCUCAGCAGUUGCCUCACUAUUGUCUGGAAUGAAACCUUCAGCUAUCCACAACUGAUAUAACUGCCUGGUGGAUAUCUCUUGGUGUGCGGGAAACACAGAUAAGUAGAUAAAACAAGGUUUCAAGCAAAAAGGUAACAUUAAACAUUUGAUGUACCGAAGCCCAAGGGGUGUCUCCACUGCUUCCCGUAUAUUUUCUUCUAAUGAGAUGCUUCCAUGAUAUAAGAUGAGGAAAGGCCGUCCUUUAUAUGUAGCUCUCAAUGGUCCUCCAGUGGGCACUAAAUCAAGCCGCAUGUUCUCUCCGUCUUCGAACUGAAAUGAGAUGAUGAUCCUAAUGUCAGUGAGUGUUAUUAAUACUCUACUUCCAUUCUGAUUAUCCGGAAGUAUUUCUUGAAUAACAUCCCACAUAUCAAUGCUCCAUACAUCAUCAAUCACAAUCAAAUACCGCUUGGUCAUCAGAUAUUCAUGAAGAAUAAUUUUUUUCAUUUCAUAAUUUUUAUCCAUUAUUUCACUCAACCUAGAUGAAGGCAUCAGAAACUUAAUAACGAUAUCUAAUAUUUGGUCAGCAUCAUAUUCAUUGCUGUAAGGUUCUGUAAUCCAAGCGUGACAAUCAAAAUAAUGCUUCACAUAACUGCUGUUGUAAGCCUCUCCGGCGAAAGCCGUCUUGUCCAACCCAAUGCUAUCAAGUAUGGCCACCACUGAAAGCUGAGGUGGUCCCUCAAUGUUAGAGCAGCUCAUUAUGCUGAACAGAAGAAGGUGAAGACUAAGAUGAAGAAAAUACAGAGCAAGUUACAGGGCAAGUGUGUCAGCAGUGCCAGCUCAGCUAACAGCUCAGCAGAUUAGUUAAAGAUGGUUGUAAGCAUGAUGUGCAUUGUACUGAAGUUAGUUAGCUUUGAUUACAGUUAGUCUUUGGAUUAGUUAAAUGAAGUUACCGUGAUUGCAUUGUAUAUAAACAGGUGAUGCUUUGUAAUUAAAUGUUAAGCAAAAUAAAAAUCAAAGUUUGUUAAGGAAAUAUCUCCAGAAUUAUCAAUUCAUUUUCUUAGUAACCAAACAACUUUAUUUCAUUUUCUUUCAGUGCGGAGAGGCCGAAAAUUUGCUGGAGGGAUACCAAUUAAUUUGGCAGAUUUCUGAAGAGCGAAAUGUGUUUGAUCGGAGGCAUAAACAACCAACUUAGUAAUGUUGUCAAAGCCUCCUCCAAGUUUUUCCAAUGCUUUGUCUCUUGCAGCUGCCAGAGUGCAAACGAGGGAUUCACAAGUGCUUCCGUGCAGGACACCACCACCUGUUCCGGAAAACAAAAAUGAAGAAGGAAGCUUGAGCAUUUUCCCCAUCCAAUCCAUCACAAUGGAUUCGAGUUCAGUUGCUACCGGAGAAGCGAGCCAGUUGAAGCCAACCACGUUGAACCCUGAACAAAGCAUCUCACCAAGAAAGCCAGCAGUGCUUGCAUUUGCUUGGAAAUAACCAAAGAAAUUGGGGCUUUGCCAGUGAGUGAGGCCAGGUAAGAUGCAGUCGGUGACAUCUUUUAGAAUAUCAUCCAAUGACUCUGGGGAAUGCGGGGCUGUGUCAGGCAACCGAGCCGACAAAUAACCAGGCUCUACUUUGCUUUGAACAGGGUAUUUCUCGAUGUUUUUGUAAUAAUCAGCAAUGAAAUCGAUAACAGCUUUCGAUUCGUCAGAGAAGCUCUUUGGCAUUACUCUUAACACAUGAGGCAAGAAUGGAACAAAAUCAUAAUACUAAAGAUCUUUUUAGUGCAAACUAUGGGAUGAUGAAUGCUAACUACUCUCAGUUUAGAGGAAAUAAUAAGAGAGGUGGUUAUAGUGGAUAUCAAGGGCAAUUUAAUGCUGGAAAUAGGAAUCAAAAUGGAGGAAGAGGAAUGUCUUUCAAUUCAUUCUCAAGAGGUUUUCCAGCUGGUGGAUAUACUGGUAAUGCUGGUGGCAGAGGACAGCAAAUGAAUGCAUAUGCUUAUAAACCUGUGCUUAACAACAGGCAUAAUUUCAAUGUGAAUCAUGGCUCAACUUCAAUGCCCAAUGGAAAUGGAUCUGAUGAUAAUGUGCUUAUCUGUCAAAUCUGUCAUAAAGCUGGACAUGCAGCUGAUGUUUGUUGGCACAGACACUUUGAUGGCUAUGCUCCUCAACCCAGACAAUUUGGAAGGGGCAGAGGGCAUAAGUCUGCUUAUAUGGCUAACUUUGAUCCACAAAUUGGCUUUACUUCACAAUUUGAAGAUUCGUUUGCUACAGAAUAUCCUGGUUAUCAUGGGUACCAUCCACCUGAUAUGAAUGCAUCAGUUGCAUCAGUAAGUCAUCACUCAUCUGAUAUGCAUUCUGUACCUGGAGCAGCUUAUAUUGCAAAUUUUGAAGGACCAGCUGAUGAAGGGUGGUAUCUUGAUAGUGGAGCUACGCAUCACAUCACUAACAGCAUGGCCAAUAUGCAUAUCAGAGAUCAAUUCACUGGAGCAGAUCAGCUCAUUAUUGGAAAUGGACAAGGUUUGCCCAUAACUCAUGUUGGUGAUGCAUCAUUUCUCUUUAAAAGUUCCAAUUCUACACACAAACACUCACCUAUAGUACUUAAAGAUAUUCUGUUGGUGCCUUCCUCUCAGUUAUCAUCAUCUUUUCUUUCUCAUAUGUGUUCCAAUAAACCUUUGUCUAUGCUUUCUUGUUGUUGUUUCAAUUCUGUUCCUUCUGGAGUAUUUACAGAAUCUUAGAAAUCAUGUAAUCAAACUGAUGAUUCAUCUUGUAAAACUUCAGUUAAUAAAGCUAUUUUGCUUCAUAGAAAGUUUGGUCAUCCCAAUCAUCAAAUAUUAACUCAUAUACUCAAAACAGCAAAAUCUAUUCAUUUACCUGCAUAUCAAAAGCAACAAAUGCAUCAGUACAUCUGUGAGGCCUGUCAAAUGGGCAAAACACAUAAACUUCAUUUUCCAAUUACUGAAACCAAAACCUCCAAAACUCUAGAACUUAUACACACUGAUUUAUGGGGUCCUUCUCCCAUUAUUUCUAGAGAUGGUUAUCAGUAUUAUAUAAGUUUUGUAGAUGACUACAGCAGGUAUACAUGGAUUUAUCCUUUGAAGCUAAAGUCUGAGGCAUUAGAAGUCUUUAAGCUCUUUAAACUGCAGGUUGAAAAUCAGUUUAGCACAACCAUUAAGAUGAUGCAAUCUGAUUGGGGGGGAGAGUAUAGACCAUUCACUGAGUUUUUAAGCCAAUUUGGUAUCAUCUUUAGACAUCCUUGUCCUCACACUCAUCAUCAAAAUGGGUUAGUUGAAAGGAAGCAUAGACAUAUUGUUGAAUUGGGUCUGACUCUCUUAGCUCAAGCUCAACUUCCCUUUAAGUUCUGGUGGGAUGCAUUUCAUACUGCUGUAUAUCACAUCAACAGACUUCCAUCUCCUGUUUUGCAACUUUUAACCCCAUAUGAAAAGACAUUCAAACACAAACCUGAUUAUGAUUUUCUCAGAUGUUUUGGGUGUUCUUGUUAUCCUUACUUGAGAGAUUACAAUAAACAUAAAUUUGCCUACCAUUCUAGUAAGUGCAUAUUCAUUGGUUACAGUCCUUCACAUAAGGGCUACAAAUGUUUACACCCUUCAGGUCGAGUCUAUGUGGCAAGACAUGUUACCUUUGAUGAAUCAGUUUUUCCUUAUGCCACUGAGUUUGUUUUUCAUAGUCAUGCUAAAACUGAUUCUCAAAUUUCUCAUUCCCAUACACCACAGCAAAUCCAUCAUAUCUCUUCUUUGCCUGUCAAUAACAGCACUGGUAAUCUGAACUCUGUAAGAUCUGGAAGCAGCAGUUCAAGUCACUCAGAUCAUCUAGAACAGACAGCAACUGAUCAGAAUUCACAACAAGCUACCAUAAAUGACAGGUCACCUUUUCAUACAUGUCCAACAAUUGUUGAAUCUAUACAAAAUAUUCCAAAACCUCCACAUCACUCUUUGCCUAUACAAAGUCACCAUCCUAGCAACACUUCUUUCUAUCCAUAUACACAACCAAAUACACAUCAGAUGAUAACCAGAAGUAAAGCAGGGAUUUUCAAACCCAAAAUUUAUACUGCUGUGCUUACUCACAAGGAACCAGAUACUGUGCAAGAAGCAUUAAAUGAUUCAAAGUGGCUACAAGCUAUGAGGGAGGAAUAUGAUGCCUUGAUUAAGAAUAAUACAUGGACAUUGGUUCCAAGACAAGCUGAUCAGCAUGUGGUUGGAAAUAAAUGGGUGUAUAGAAUCAAAUAUAAUACAGAUGGAAGUGUAGCUAAGUAUAAAGCUAGACUUGUUGCAAAGGGUUUUCAGCAAGUGGCAGGGAUUAACUAUUUUGAGACAUUUAGCCCAGUUGUGAAGUCAGCUACAGUUAGAGUAAUACUUAGCUUGGCAGUGAUGAAUCAGUGGAGAAUAAGGCAAGUGGAUGUCAAUAAUGCCUUUUUGAAUGGAGAGCUAACAGAAGAAGUUUUCAUGUCUCAACCUGAUGGCUUUAUUGAUGCUCAGAGAUCUGAUUUUGUAUGCAAAUUACACAAGUCUCUGUAUGGGCUCAAGCAAGCUCCUAGAGCCUGGUAUGACAAGCUUAAAGGAUGCUUAAUAAGCUGGGGUUUCACUACUACUAGUUCUGACACCUCAUUGUUUGUUAGGAAGAUCAAGACAUCUAUGAUCAUAGUUCUUAUAUAUGUUGAUGACAUACUGAUCACAGGUCCAAAUACUGAGGAGCUGGAAGGUUUUAUAACUGAAUUCAGCAAAACUUUUGCUCUAAAGGAUCUGGGAGUGUUAUCCUAUUUCCUUGGAAUUGAGGUAUUAUAUGAUGCAGAUUGUAUGUACUUGUCACAGAGAAAGUAUAUCAGAGAUUUGUUAUCGAAGGUAGAAAUGACUGAAUGUAAGGGCAUUGAUACACCCAUGAGUACUGGCUCUAAACUGCAAAAGAUAGUUCAGGGGGAACUUGGAUACUAUCUUGAAGAUCCAACUCAUUAUAGGAGCAUAGUUGGAGGAAUGCAGUACCUGAUACUUACCAGACCUGAGAUUGCGUUUGCUGUAAACAAGCUUAGUCAGUAUGUAGCUGCACCAACACUACAACAUCUAAUGGCAUGCAAGAGAGUUAUAAGAUAUCUAAAGGCAACUCAAGAUUAUGGUUUAAAAUUUUUCAGAGAAGGAAGCUUAACACUCACUAGUUUUACUGAUGCAGAUUGGGCAUGUGACUUAGAUGAUAGGAAAUCAGUUGGUGCUUAUUGCAUUUAUUUAGGCAAUAAUUUGAUAUCCUGGUCUUCUAAGAAACAAUCAGUGAUAACCAGAUCAAGUGCCGAGAGUGAGUAUAGAGCUUUGGCAUCAGUGAGUGCAGAGCUGACAUGGUUACAAUCCUUAUUUUCUGAGUUGGGAAUAAGUUGCAUAGAAAAGCCAAUCAUAUGGUGUGACAACAUUAGUGCCACUGAACUAGCAAAGAACCCUGUGUAUCAUUCAAGAACAAAGCAUAUCGAAAUUGAUAUGCACUUCAUUAGGAAUAAGGUUCUUGCUGGUGAGUUGAUUAUUCACUAUGUACCAAGUGAAGAACAGAUUGCAGACAUAAUGACCAAGCCUCUUUCAUUUGUAAGGUUUAACUACUUGAGGUCCAAACUCAAUGUCCAUCUUUGUCCUCUGAGUUUGAGGGGGGCUGUUAGAGCAGCUCAUUAUGCUGAACAGAAGAAGGUGAAGACUAAGAUGAAGAAAAUACAGAGCAAGUUACAGGGCAAGUGUGUCAGCAGUGCCAGCUCAGCUGACAGCUCAGCAGAUUAGUUAAGAUGAAGAUAUACCGGCUUCAGCUUUAGAAGUUUUGAUGCGAUCAAUGAUUUUGGAAUCCAUGUGCUUAAGUUGUUGCAUCCGUUGCUUAAUAUCAGUGAUUCUGCUUUGGAGUCCUUGCAGAGCAUCAAAAAUGUCCUUGCUGCAGCUGCUUUGAGUCUUCUGUUGAGUGAUGCUGUUGAUGAAUGUGUCAAUCACCUUCUCAGAUUCAUACGUAAACCAAUUGAUUUCGUCCAUAACGGUCGCCAGAUCUGGGUCAUGACUUUCCUCCUCCGCCAUUUUUUCGAACAGAAGGAGGGAGAUAUCAUCUUCAAAUUCGCUCAGCCAAGAAGUAACGAUUUCAACCUCCGCAUGAAGGUUCUGAAUAGGUUGUUUUGCAGCAUCAGGCAACGUGACUUCUUCACCAGCUAACACCCUUCUCAGCCUCUCUGAAAAUAGUCUGAAGUUGAUGUGCAUAUCUCCUCCUCUCUCAGAUUCACCCUGAAAUCAGUCCUGUAGCAUGCAAAGAAAUAAUUAAAAGAAAAACAUGCUUUAAAGCUCUCAAUUCAAACAUUAGUGCUGGCUCCCAUACCUCCCUUCUCUUAGCUAGCUCUCCGGUCAAGAAGUUGAAUCAAGAUCGUUGACUCUCAGAUUAUAACAGAUCAAGGAAGAAUCUUACAAUAAUCUCGUCUCCCAUAUGAUCAAGACCAAUUUGUUUUAUACAUCCACUUUUAAGAAAGGAAGGGUAAAAACAAUUCCACUGGGACUAUAAAAGCUUGUCUGAAAAGAAAAGAACGGAGCAAGCACAAGAGCGUUAUCAAUUAUUUAAUAAUUAAUAACUAAGCCGUGGAAAAAUGCAAAAUCAUGUCAGGUGUUACUUGUUAAAUUUAUUGCGAGACUUGCAUGUAUCUAUAUCACAAAUAAAAUUUGUAUCCCAGGGUUAUAAAUGUAAAAUUACUCAAAUAAAUAUGCAUUCUUAAUCAUGUGUGAUGCUGUCUUAUUUCUGAGAAAGUACUAAAUCGUUUGUAAAAUUUUAUAGUUAAUAUAUGUUCAAUUUUCUUUUUAGCAUUCUUUUUUAAGAAAUGAAAAAUGAUAAAGAAUUCUAACAACGGGUGACAAAAAUAAUAAUAAAUUGUGCAAUGUUACAAUGUUAAUUGAAAAAUAGUUAUAAUUUUUUAUUUAACAUUAUAAAUAAAAUCUAUAGUUGUUUUCUCACUACUGUAUCAUUUUUUAAUUCAAAUAUCAGUAUUAUAUGAGCUCUCACCUUUUAGAAAGUAUUAUAUCAUAAGACACUAUUUAUAAUUAUUUUCAUUUGAGCCCUUAGUGUUAAAAAUAUAACAAUCCAUCAAUGAAAUCAAUGAUAAUGGAAUUCUAAGUAGGAAUGGCAGAAAAAUCAAGUCUAGCUAGAGCAUGUUUUCUAAGUAUUCUGGCUGGUCUUGGGCUCCGGCUAAAAAGUUCGAACUCAGCUCGAAAGCCAACAUUGUAUAGUGGGAAUCUAGGACCAAUCACAUGGAGAUGAUUUGUAAAUUUUUGUACACAAUUUUAGUAUGCAUAUCAGAAGAGAGGCAGCAAUCUUAGUUGAUACUUUUAUUUGACAUAUGAUGUAAGAAACGGAACAAAGAUUGUAACGCCACAAAUUUUGCAAUUCAGCAUCCAAAAUAUCACUAGAACUUGCAAGACAAGCUUUAAUCUCUUCAACAAAGGUCGAAUUGCGGGCAGGAACACAAACGCAGAGAUGGGUAUCAAGAUCGCAUUCGAAACGACUGACAGGGAUUGUCACAGUCGGCAUUGCUUUUACAAGUGACUGCUUUUGAUUCCGGUUGAGCAUCAACUGCCGGCAUGGAAAUAUUAAACAACACACUUGCAUAUAUAAAUGCCAAACAAUUAAUUAGCCUAAUGCUAAUAACACGCCUGCAUAUAUAAAUGCCAGCCAAUUAGUUGUCAUAUUAUAGUUAAUUAUGCAUGCAUUAAAAAGAUGAGGAAAAUAAGAUUAAGGAACAAACAUGAGGCCACCAACAGAGUGAUGAAAAAUGUGGAUUUAAGUUUAAGUUCCAUAAUGUUUAUGUAAGCAAAAGUGCAAAACUGAGAGUCUGUGGAUAAUGAUAUUAUUAAAUUUAAUAUGGGUUUGGUUUGCAUAGAUUCAUGAAUUUCUCUAGACAUUAUAUGCGCCGGGGGAGAAUUUAAUCCACUUGACAACUAAAAAAUUCAGAAAUCAAACCUCGAUUUGACAAAUUAGAAAUUUAAAAAUUAAAUUUUUUUCCAUAUGCAUGCUCUCGUUUUUCUCUCUAUCACAGCGGUAUAAUUGGAAUUAUUGUUAUGACAAUUUGAUUCUCUUUUCUUACAUGUUGCAGGAGUCAUGUCCUCCCGUUGAGGUGACAAAAUGACUAUGGAUUGUGCCUGAGUGGAGUACACCACCAGUAUGAUUAUCUCACUCCCUUUCGAGGUUUUGUUGCAGUAAUUUCUCAUCUUUUAUAGGGUACCCUGCUCUUCAUUGCUUCUGUAGAAGUCUUAUGAGCUAAUUGCUUCCGAAUCUUUAAAUUUCUUCAAUGAGGAACCUUUGUUUGGAAAAUUGAUUUUCAUCUGAUCCGAGAAGGGUGCUUUGAAGCAGAGAGCUUACGAAAUGCAGCAUGCAAAAUCAUGACUACAAUGCAGUAGACUAAUUGUUAGCUCACUCUAAGCAAAGGCAACGUUCAUAAAAGAUGAAGAAGAGUUUCUAAUAUUUACCAACAUAACCGAUAGCAAGUGCACAGAAUAGAGUCAUCUGAACAUUCAGUAGCAUAAGAACAACCAAUGUAGCUGCAAAGAUGAGAUGUAAUUACUACUGUGAAGUCGACGAAAGAAUUCCACUAUUUAUCAACAACUAGACUGUAGUAUAAUGGAAAGACCUGCCAAGGAAAGUUUAAAGCAAAACUCAUCCAGAGAAGGCAAGAACAUUAGUAUAGAAGCAGAAGUGCACACAUUCAUAUUUAGGGGUAACGAGAAAUGUAUCAUAAAUCACUUGCUCUAGCACAGUACUAUUUCAUGCUAAUUUUCUUGCUCGUUCUAUGGUUAGGACCCUUUGAGCGGAAAGAAAUCAAAUCACAAUGCUUAUUCUAGCUAGAAACUCCUGAAGUCCAUGCUUGAACCCUGUGUCAAUUGGUCAUAGACUCCAUAUUCUCCCAAAAGUAUGACAUUUUUUUCUUCCACUGAUUAAUGGAACUUAAAACUGUUUUGCCACAAUCUUAGUCAUACAAACCCUUUCUCUUUACAUUUCUUAAGGUCAUCAGACCCAAACCAGAACAUGUUUACUUCCUAGGAGAAAUCUUAAAUAUCUUAAUCAAUACGGAACUGUGUAGUUCAGACAGCAUUCCCUUGGCCAACUAGACGUAACGAUUUGCAAUGUCCUAGUAAGUCUAUGAGUGGAACUAACAGUGCCCUUCCAAUACGGAAAAACAAUCGUCAAAAACAAUUUUUUUACCCCAUCAACCACAUACAGUAUAAGACUGUAGCUGGUUAUCUCAAUAUCGGCUGCCAUUUUGAUUCAAAGAAGAAAUAUUUGAGAACUCACCACAUUGUGCAAUGCGAACCAGAACCUGCCUAAUCACAGGAUGCCGAUCCCAGUUCCAUUUGUCACUACAGAACUUGAAAAAAUCCCAAAGUGCCAAACUUGAUAUCAACCCAACAAGUGCAAGUGGCAUCUGGUAUCUAUAAGAUGGAGACAGAGACAAUGUCACUAGACAGAUGAUACACAGAAAAAAAAACUUGUAAUACAACUAACACACACAAUACUAUGAUUAAAAAAAUAUCUCCAUCAGUUAAAAACUAAACAAUGGAAAGGCGAGACUCUAUGAACUAAUGCCCUGAACCAGCACAAAUACCAAUUCUCCCGGAGUAUUUUAAGUAUUCAUAUAGUUGUUUCAAAGCACAGGAAAAAAAAAAACAACGCAAAAUUGCAAACUCAUAGUGUUGUUAUUUAUCAAUUGAAACCCAGAAAAAAAAAUCUGUAACUUAAUUAUUCAUUUAAGCAGAUUGAAACCCUUACAAACACAGGUAAGCAAAUCAAAAUUAUCAUUAAAAAUCCAAUCAAGGCCACAUAAAUCUAAUCACAUCCAAAAGCAUCCCAAAAUCUCGUUCAAUAUUCAUACACCCACAUACAAAAACCAUUCAAAAAUUUAAUUUUUUUUAACUCAAAAUAAUAACUCAGGAAAGGAAACAAAAUUCUUACAGAGAGCAAGCAAAGAAGAGGAUGAACAAAGAAGCAUAAUUCCUGGCAUAACGUUUAACAUUCUCAUGAACUCUCAACUUAAGGGUGUGUGGGGAAGAUGGAAACGAGUAAGACCCAAGAGCCCCAAUAAACUCACGGGUCCAAGACGGGGUGUUGGCUGAGAAAUCAUCAGUGGUGAGUUUAGCAAAAGGGUUGGCGGUAAGAAGAGAGAUAAAGGUGUAUAAAUAAUGUAAAAGGCUGUGAGUUAUGGUCGUGGCUGUGGCUGUUUCUUUGGUGGAGGCUGUUGUGACGGCGGUGGCCGAUGUCGUGGUGGCGGUGUCAAGGCUUUCGAGGUAGCCGGAGUCGCGUAGCCAUGACUCGAAUGCUGGGUCGGUUACGUUUAGAGAUAACGGGUUGGAUGCGAAUACCUUCCCCAUUGCAAAAAGUUAUCCAAUUUCGGUUGAACGAGGGUCACUAAAUUAUCAAAAU
rnacentral:lncRNA from 1 species